AGCAGCCGCGGUAAUUCCAGCUCCAAUAGCGUAUAUUAAAGUUGUUGCAGUUAAAAAGCUCGUAGUUGAAUUUCGAGACCGGCUUACUGGUCGUGCUAUUGUACGUACUGGUAUAAUCGGUUUCUCCUUUCUGACGAACUAUAAUGCCAUUAAUUUGGUGUUAUAGGGAAUCAGGACUGUUACUUUGAAAAAAUUAGAGUGUUUAAAGCAGGCUCACGCUUGAAUACAUUAGCAUGGAAUAACGGAAUAGGACGUUUGACUCUAUUUUGUUGGUUUCUAGGAUCGACGUAAUGAUUAAUAGGGAUAGUUGGGGGCAUUAGUAUUCAAUUUGUCAGAGGUGAAAUUCUUGGAUUUAUUGAAGACUAACUACUGCGAAAGCAUUUGCCAAGGAUGUUUUCAUUAAUCAA
rnacentral:misc_RNA from 1 species